rnacentral:rRNA from 1 species
UACGUAGGUGGCAAGCGUUGUCCGGAUUUAUUGGGUUUAAAGGGUGCGUAGGCGGCUUUGUAAGUCAGUGGUGAAAUAUGGCAGCUCAACUGUCAAGGUGCCAUUGAUACUGCAGAGCUUGAGUACAGAUGAGGUAGGCGGAAUUGACGGUGUAGCGGUGAAAUGCUUAGAUAUCGUCAAGAACACCUAUAGCGAAGGCAGCUUACUAGGCUGUAACUGACGCUGAGGCACGAAAGUGUGGGGAGCAAACAGG